CUGGCAGCAGUAGCCUGCUGAGAUAAGCAAGCACAACACGCAGUAUUUACAUGUACUGUCCUGGCUUUCCCAUUAAAAUGUUUGUAGUACAGUACAGAAACGUGGAUGUGCUUACUGUGCAGAUCUCCAUAAAAUUACUUCCUUGCUCAGCUGGAGUAUUGUGGAAAUCGACUGAAGACAUCGGGCCUGGAGAUCAAAAGAAAAUAUUGAAUAUCACUCAGAUUGGCACACUGAGAGGAGACACAGAGAAUCACCAUGGAGGAGGACAAGAAUUUUCUAAAAGCAUAUUCAAGAAAGGAUGAAGCCAAAAUACUUUUGCAUCUAAAAAUCAUCUACUACAGUGACAAGAACAAUUAUGGAAACAAUUAUCACGGGGAGGAACAGUGAUACUGAGGCCUAAGUUGCUCUGCAUGAGUCUAGUUUUACAGCGGUUAAGCUUCAAUAAAAUCAACCACAGUAACA
rnacentral:lncRNA from 1 species